rnacentral:lncRNA from 1 species
GGGAAGGAAGGAGGCUAUAGGCCCAAUAAGCAGUUGGCAUUUCCUGACAAUUGUUUCAAACACAAAGCCAGCAGGAGCUGCUCCCAGCGAGCCCCGCUUCUCCCCAUAAUCUAGCCUUGGGUAACAGGCUUCUCCCAGGAGAUCACUGUUCUCAGUCCCUGGCAAGAGCUGGCCCCAUGGGGAGUGCUUUGUUGAUAGUGCCCAGUGCCCAGCAACCAGGCUGGGUUUGGGAAGGAGGCUGGAGUCUUCAGGAGGAAGGUCCUGCCCAAGAUGGUGCAGAGGGGCAGGAAAUCAAGAAAAAACUCCUAAAACUACACAGAUCAAGAAGAAACUAUGUGAGAUGUUAUUUAGAGACAUGAAAGUGAACAUUCCAAAGAAUCCGUUUCAAGAGUCGAAAGUGGCCACCCUGGAGAUGGGUCAGGGCUGCAGUUGUUCAUGACUAACUUUGUACAUUUCUGAGAAAUCUAUGCUUAUGUGUAACUUCUCUUAAAAUAAAAAAUUUAAUAAAAUCCAAAGCAAAAACAAACAGAGCAAUUCUGGCCCCAUUUGGGGAGGGAGUGGGCUGUGAUUACGAGAAUGAGGGCCCAGCGGGUGGGGAUUCCUCUGUCAGGCAUGCAACGGGAAGCUGGUGGGGUCUUGGCAAGGCUUUGGUGGAGAGACGUCAUUGGAAUGGUGACCUCAUUUGGAACCGGUGAGGGCAGGAGAAGGUAGAAGGGUUAAAAAGAAGAAGAACCACCAAAGGAGAAGAAAAGGAAGCCUGGUCAUUCUACAGCCAAGGUCAUACUCCCAGGAGACCUACGGCCUUUUGUCGGGGUUACACAAAUGUAAAACAAAGGUGUGGUCUCUCCACUAAAUGGGGAAGUUUCCACCAGGAGGCCAGUGUGUCAUUGAGUAAUGUGAAUAGUGGAACCCAUCCCCAGCUAGUCAGGCCCACACAUUCCAUACCAGGACCCACGGGCCUCGGGGGUAGAGGCAGGAAGGUAGCAUUUGUCUAUUGUGAGAACAAGCAGCUUAUGUAGACAUCAAAGGUCUCAGGAUAGCGUAUAUUCUUCCAGAUCUGUGAGGCCCAAACACACACACAUGGAGGAGGAUCCCAGGGUCUCAGCCCCUCCCCAGAUUCUCAAGACUCAGGCCUUGUCCCCUCUCCCAUGGGGGUCCUAUUGAAAGGAAUCCAGAGACCCUGGGAGAAUCUGAGUAGGAAGAGGGAACUGGACUUACUGCCAUAGGCCCAGGCCUGGGUCAGGACUGUGUCUCUCUGGAAAAGCCACUCUCUUGGGAACUGAGAAAGCCCAGAGCUUGGGCCCAGAGCAGCCCAGGCCUUGACUGGCCUGCCUGUUCCGUCCUCCUGUCUUCUCCAGGAAGCAUUUUCUCCUUCCUUCCUUCCUUUCUUUCUUUCUUUCUUUCUUUCUUUCUUUCUUUCUUUCUUUCUUUCUUUCUUUCUUUCUUUCUUUCUUUUUU